rnacentral:rRNA from 1 species
UUUAGAGAUAAGAGGGUGCUAGCUUGCUAGAACUUAGAGACAGGUGCUGCACGGCUGUCGUCAGCUCGUGUCGUGAGAUGUUGGGUUAAGUCCCGCAACGAGCGCAACCCACGUAUUUAGUUGCUAACGGUUCGGCCGAGCACUCUAAAUAGACUGCCUUCGUAAGGAGGAGGAAGGUGUGGACGACGUCAAGUCAUCAUGGCCCUUAUGCCCAGGGCGACACACGUGCUACAAUGGCAUAUACAAUGAGACGCAAUACCGCGAGGUGGAGCAAAUCUAUAAAAUAUGUCCCAGUUCGGAUUGUUCUCUGCAACUCGAGAGCAUGAAGCCGGAAUCGCUAGUAAUCGUAGAUCAGCCAUGCUACGGUGAAUACGUUCCCGGGUCUUGUACUCACCGCCCGUCACACCAUGGGAGUUGAUUUCACUCGAAGCCGGAAUACUAAACUAGUUACCGUCCACAGUGGAAUCAGCGACUGGGGUGAAGUCGUAACAAGGUAACCGUAGGAGAACCUGCGGUUGGAUCACCUCCUUUCUAG